GCUUACGGACCACACCGGCCUGAGUACGCUGAUCUCGUCUGAUCUCGGAAGCUAAGCAGGGUCGGGCCUGGUAGUACUUGGAUGGGAGACGCCUGGGGAAUACCAGGUGCUGUAAGCU
rnacentral:rRNA from 1 species